AGGUUUUGUUCAGGUUUAGCACAAGCUGUGAUGAAUAUCUUCAAGCCUCUGCUUCCUGCUGUGGAAUUGUUGCCAAAGGACACAUUCCCAGAUGGGAUUACUGAGUCAGAGGAAGUGGACAUUGAGUGGCUCUCAACAGACAGGCUGUGUUGCUCUCACAGUGCCCAGCUUCCCAUGGGUGGCCAGCCGAAUGCAUUAUGGGAGAAAGCAGGUCUCGUGGAUAAUAUUUCUGAAGAUCGGAGCAGGUUGCCAGGUCCACGUCGGCCAUGACUGCAGCACGCUCCGGAGGCAGCAGGGGGCACCCUGGAGCUUCGCAUCCUCCUUCAGGCCCGCGGCAUCUCCCCUGGCUCCACCAUCCCCAGGUGUCUCAGGUUGGACGCACGGUAGUUCGCUAUGGCCAUUUCUGAUUAAAGACAGAACAAAUGGAUUGUCCGGAUACGGUGUCUGUGAAAGGAACCCAGCUGUGAGCCUCGGCAGGCAGGUGCGACAUUCUAAAUCCACAGGGAGGGCCCAGAAGGGACGCAAGAGGUCACCUGCCGUGCAGGGUGCGGGGGGUCUUGGAGGUGGGCAGCAGCUGUUCACCCGUGAGCGACGAGGAGCAUCAGCGCUUGAACAGCGGAAGCAGCAUUUACAGGUGAACACCAGCCCGAGAGGGCCGGGGGGCCCAAAGCUAUGGUGUCCAGAGCCUCCCAGCUCCCACUCUGGCCUCCAGUGGCCAUGGAAUUGCUAACUAUGAGGGCGCAAGCUUCUCCCAGCAAGUCAAGGGGAUGCUAUGUGCUGCGAUAACGGGUCCGGCCGCCUUGCCUUUGGCCUUCCAAGCCCCUCUCUGAGCCCCAGGACGUACCCACACCUGCCGGCCCAUGUAGGGUGGUCCCAGCCUGCGUCAGUCAGGCCACACUCCGGAGCCAGGCUUGGUGCAAACUCCCAGCUG
rnacentral:lncRNA from 1 species